GCCCGGAUGGCGAAACAGGCAGACGCAGCGGACUUAAAAUCCGCCGCCCUUGAAAAGGGGCAUGCGGGUUCGAACCCCGCUCUGGGCACCA
rnacentral:tRNA from 1 species